AAAUAGAUUGGGGCGGGGUCGAUUGAUGAUCAGGAAGGUCAAUGGCCUAUGAACGCCACCUCCAUUGCACUUGGAAAGGGGGUCUACCUAACAUCUCCCAAUGAGGAGAGUGCACGACAUAAUUUGUGGAAACAGAGGCUCGCGUUCAUGUGGCCUUUUA
rnacentral:snRNA from 1 species